rnacentral:rRNA from 1 species
GGACUACACGGGUAUCUAAUCCUGUUUGCUCCCCACGCUUUCGCGCCUUAGCGUCAGUAUUGUGCCAGUAAGCCGCCUUCGCCACUGAUGUUCUUAUGAAUAUCUACGAAUUUCACCUCUACACUCAUAAUUCCACUUACCUCUCACAAUCUCUAGCCUUGCAGUAUCAAAUGCAGUUCCCAGGUUAAGCCCGGGGCUUUCACAUCUGACUUUCAAAGCCGCCUACGCGCCCUUUACGCCCAGUAAUUCCGAACAACGCUAGCUCCCUUCGUAUUACCGCGGCUGCUGGCAC